UUCCGUAGGUGAACCUGCGGAGGGAUCAUUACACAACAAAAUAUGAAGGCCUGGCUUUGCGGCCGGCUGAGAUAUUUUUUUCACCCAUGUCUUUUGCGCACUUGUUGUUUCCUGGGCGGGUUCGCCCGCCACCAGGACCAAACCAUAAACCUUUUUUUUAUGCAGUUGCAAUCAGCGUCAGUAUAAACAAUGUAAUUAUUACAACUUUCAACAACGGAUCUCUUGGUUCUGGCAUCGAUGAAGAACGCAGCGAAAUGCGAUACGUAGUGUGAAUUGCAGAGUUCAGUGAAUCAUCGAAUCUUUGAACGCACAUUGCGCCCUUUGGUAUUCCAAAGGGCAUGCCUGUUCAAGCGUCAUUUGUACCCUCAAGCUUUGCUUGGUGUUGGGCGUUUUUGUCUCCCUCUUUGCUGGGAGACUCGCCUUAAAACGAUUGGCAGCCGGCCUACUGGUUUCGGAGCGCAGCACAUAUUUUGCACUCUGUAUCAGGAGAAAAGGACGGUAAUCCAUCAAGACUCUUACGAUUUUUAACUUUUGACCUCGGAUCAGGUAGGGAUACCCGCUGAACUUAAGCAUAUCAAUAAGCGGAGGA
rnacentral:sRNA from 1 species